rnacentral:rRNA from 1 species
GACGAGGUGCACAAACGUUAUUCGGAUUUACUGGGCGUAAAGCGCGUGUAGGCGGCUUGGCAAGUCGGAUGUGAAAGCCCACGGCUCAAUCGUGGAAGCGCAUCCGAAACUGCUUCGCUCGAGUCUCGGAGAGGAAGGUGGAAUGCUUGGUGUAGAGGUGAAAUUCGUAGAUAUCAAGCAGAACACCUGCGGCGAAGGCGGCCUUCUGGACGAUGACUGACGCUGAGACGCGAAAGCGUGGGGAGCAAACAGG